CCCCUCUCGGGAUCGCACCUGGAGAGUUUCCAGUACUCUACCAGUCUCGGCUUUGGGAGGAAGAUUCGAGCGGAGGCAGCCCGUUCCAUUCCUUGCUUGGGCAGUGGCUAGCGAGUGGAAGACAAUCUGCUACAAGU